rnacentral:rRNA from 1 species
GAUUGCAGUCUGCAACUCGACUGCAUGAAGCCGGAAUCGCUAGUAAUCGCGGAUCAGAAUGCCGCGGUGAAUACGUUCCCGGGUCUUGUACACACCGCCCGUCACACCAUGGGAGUCGGAAAUGCCCGAAGCCGGUGGCCUAACCGAUAAGGGAGGAGCCGUCGAAGGCAGGUCUGAUGACUGGGGUGAAGUCGUAACAAGGUAUC